rnacentral:lncRNA from 1 species
AAACUGCCCAUUCUAAUUAAAAACCCAGUUUUCUAGCAGCUAGACUUCUGCCAAAAAUUCGGUAGUAUCUCCCCUAUAAAUAGAACAUUUCCCAAAAGUUUUUCACCAGUAAAACAAGCAUAAAUAUACAUACAUAUAACCCAAUUGCCAGCAUGCACUAAAUUAUAUCCAAGAAAUCAACAGUAUAUCAUUCUGGCCUCAGGCCUCACCCAAUCAAAUAAAUCAUUUUGCUAAUAAAAUUCAUCUCAACUUUCAUAAUAUCAAUAAUACAUUAACAAUCUCAAAGCCUCCAACUCGUGGCUGCACCUGUAGUAUUAGGCUGCCUACGUACCCUUGCUAAGGGAUCAGGGAUCAAGUCACACGUAGUUCUUUCCUAUACUCAUGUCAGUCAUAUCCUGAAUAUAAAUACGCCAUACACUGAACUCCUUUUAGUAUAGUUUAAGAAUAUACCAGAACUAAAAUUCUCUUAUCCUAGGCAUACCCCCAUUCCUACUCCAUCAAUCCUAUCCUCGCAGGCCUCGGAGACACCACUUCUAUCCAAGCCGCAACCUCGCUCGCAGGUCUCAGAGAUACCACUUAUAUCCGAGCCACAAUCCUCCCUUGCAUAUCAAAAAGUCCCUAAAGGUUCUAAUAUGCCUACGACACAUGCCCUGUGAGUUUGGUCUCAAUCGGACAGUCAGAUUGAUCACGAUUGCACGAUCAGACGGUUACUAAAAAUCUAGCCCUAGGGUUGGCAUUUUCGGAGUAUCCGGAACUCCGAUUUACAAUCCGUCAAAUCCUACACGGUCUUGGAAUUAUCUAGAUCAACAUAUACGAGAAUAACUACAAUCCAAAGGUUCAAAUGUAUCGAACCCGGAAAUUGCACAAUAUGCGAGAUCCGUUCGGGGUUCAAACAUUAUCUGAAUUGAG